CUGAUAUCAGAAGAGCUUUUGAGUCCAGAAGUCUUGAUCUGUGAUUCUCUGUGAUUAUACAGAAGGCUGUUGUAGACGUCUCUGUGUCAUACCACACAUUUGUGAAGUAACAUGCAAAGCUCCUUUGAAUAAAUCAGUUAAACUGGGGUUUCAUCUCGAGUUUCUCUUGCUGGAAACACACAACACUGUCUUGACUGCAUUAGUCCUGAACCCCUUGAGUGUCCCAUACGCUCGUAUAUAAAGGUUAAUGGACUGGAGAUGAUGUGCGACGGAGAGAAGAUUCAGAAGCAGAACAGCAAAAUUCAGGAGAACAAAGAGAAAAACUCUCAAUCUGAAUUAAAGAAGAAAGGAUUCAUGAGACAUUAUCAUCAGGACAGUGUGGAGGCAAGAAGACCAGACUUCUCUCAUGAUGAAGCUGUAGACAGUCAUUCACUGAGAGACAUUAACAGAUGAAUUAUAAUACGCUUAUGGACAGAAACUACUGAUGUGUGACUGCUGCCUGAACCUUUAAAGAAUAAGAAUAAUAAAGGACACAAACAAAACAGAGAUGUUGGAUAAGGAUUCAUAAUACCCAGUCUCGGACGAGUGAUGCAAACGAUGGACCUUCGAAUGUGUAGUUUCCCACAGAUCAUGCAGCCCAUUCUCACCCCAAGGCGUCACCUAACUGACGCCUUGGGAAGCAU